UCUCUGGCGGUCCAAAGGUUAUGACUCAGCACUUCCACUGCAGGGGGACCAGGUUCGAUCCCUGGUCAGGGAA
rnacentral:tRNA from 1 species